rnacentral:rRNA from 1 species
CAAUCGAACCCGGAGAUAGCUGGUUCUCCCCGAAAUAGUUUUAGGACUAGCCUCAUGUUAGAUUUCCGGAGGUAAAGCACUGAAUGGCCUAGGGCCCGAGAGGGUACCGAAGCCUAUCAAACUAAGAAUGCCGGAAAAUUGAUGCAUGGGAGUCAGACUGUGUGAGAUAAGUCUCAUAGUCAAAAGGGAAACAGCCCAGAUCUACAGCUAAGGUCCCAAAGCAGGUUUAAGUGGAAAAGGAUGUGGAGUUGCGAAAACAGCCAGGAUGUUGGCUUAGAAGCAGCCACUCAUUUAAAGAGUGCGUAAUAGCUCACUGGUCGAGUGAUUCUGCGCCGAAAAUUUCCGGGGCUAAAACUUACUACCGAAGCUACGGCAUCAUUAUGAUGGGUAGGGGAGCUUUCUAUGCGGCUUGAAGCAUGACCGUAAGGACAUGUGGACUGCAUAGAAGUGAGAAUGUUGGCAUGAGUAGCGAGAUGUGGGUGAGAAUCCCACAGGCCGUAAACCCAAGGUUUCCAGGGGAAGGUUCGUCCGCCCUGGGUUAGUCAGGACCUAAGCCGAGGCCGAAAGGCGUAGGUGAUGGACAACAGGUUGAUAUUCCUGUACCACCAAUAACCGUUUGAGAAAUGGGAUGACACAGUAGGAUAAGCUAACCGCACUGUUGGUUAUGUGCGGGCAAGUAUUGAGGCAGUUCCGAUAGGCAAAUCCGUCGGAAUAAUGCUGGGGUACGAUGCGGAGCGAAAUUUAGUAGCGAAGUAGCUGAUUUCACACUGUCGAGAAAAGUCUCUAUCGAGGUUAAAGGUGCCUGUACCGCAAACCGACACAGGUGGGUGAGGAGAGUAUCCUAAGGCCAGCGAGAGAACUGUUGUUAAGGAACUCGGCAAAAUGACCCCGUAACUUCGGGAGAAGGGGUGCCUGUCUUUGACAGGCCGCAGAGAAUAGGCCCAAGCGACUGUUUACCAAAAACACAGGUUUCUGCUAAGUCGCAAGACGAUGUAUAGGAGCUGACGCCUGCCCGGUGCUGGAAGGUUAAGGGGAUCUGUUAGAGCAAUCGAAGCAGUGAACUUAAGCCCCAGUAAACGGCGGCCGUAACUAUAACGGUCCUAAGGUAGCGAAAUUCCUUGUCGGGUAAGUUCCGACCCGCACGAAAGGCGUAACGAUUUGGGCACUGUCUCAACAACAGACUCGGUGAAAUUGUAAUACCGGUGAAGAUGCCGGUUACCUGCGACAGGACGGAAAGACCCCAUGGAGCUUUACUGUAGCUUGACAUUGGGUCUUGGUACUACAUGUACAGGAUAGGUGGGAGACUAUGAAGCCGGAACGCCAGUUUCGGUGGAGUCAUCCUUGGGAUACCACCCUUGUAGUACUGGGACUCUAACCAUAGGCCAUGAAUCUGGUCUUGGGACACUGUCAGGUGGGCAGUUUGACUGGGGCGGUCGCCUCCUAAAAAGUAACGGAGGCGCUCAAAGGUUCUCUCAGUACGGUCGGAAAUCGUACGUAGAGUGUAAAGGCACAAGAGAGCUUGAUUGCAAGACAUACAGGUCGAGCAAGGACGAAAGUCGGACUUAGUGAUCCGGUGGUUCCGCAUGGAAGGGCCAUCGCUCAACGGAUAAAAGCUACCCUGGGGAUAACAGGCUUAUCUCCCCCAAGAGUCCACAUCGACGGGGAGGUUUGGCACCUCGAUGUCGGCUCA